GACGAACGCUGGCGGCGUGCUUGACACAUGCAAGUCGAACGAAGAGCGAUGGAAGCUUGCUUCUAUCAAUCUUAGUGGCGAACGGGUGAGUAACGCGUAAUCAACCUGCCCUUCAGAGGGGGACAACAGUUGGAAACGACUGCUAAUACCGCAUACGAUCUAAUCUUGGCAUCGAGGAUAGAUGAAAGGUGGCCUCUACAUGUAAGCUAUCACUGAAGGAGGGGAUUGCGUCUGAUUAGCUAGUUGGAGGGGUAACGGCCCACCAAGGCGAUGAUCAGUAGCCGGUCUGAGAGGAUGAACGGCCACAUUGGGACUGAGACACGGCCCAGACUCCUACGGGAGGCAGCAGUGGGGAAUCUUCCGCAAUGGACGAAAGUCUGACGGAGCAACGCCGCGUGAGUGAUGACGGCCUUCGGGUUGUAAAGCUCUGUUAAUCGGGACGAAAGGCCUUCUUGCGAAUAGUGAGAAGGAUUGACG
rnacentral:rRNA from 1 species